rnacentral:piRNA from 1 species
UGCCAAUUUUAUUCAAUAAAA